rnacentral:pre_miRNA from 1 species
AUAAUUACGGAGUGUUAUGUCCAGCCUAGUUGCUAGAAUUAUAAAGUUAUAUAUAUAUAUUUUUAUAAUUCUAGCAACUAGGCUGGACAUAACACUCCGUAAUUAUUUU